rnacentral:lncRNA from 1 species
CCCCUCCGCUCCUAGCGCGCGGGAGUCGGGAUUGUGCUUGCACGACUUCCCCCGGCCCGCGGCCUGUGAGCCCAGGUCCUGGGGUGAACCGAGCGCUCGCUCGUUCGUCAGACCGUAGCGCUCCAGCGGCUGUCCUUACUGUGUAGUAGCCAAAGCUGAGGGUGAUGACUGUGAACCAGAACAGACUGCCUCGCUGAAAAGUCACUUGGAACUCUUCUGUGGCAUCUGAAGCAGAUGGACGAAGCCAAGAGGGCCGAGAGUAUCUCAGCACCUAGAAAUGGACAAGGCUGGUUAUUAGAACAAAGAUUUCGCAGGUGGUGGGCUUGCAAAGUAUGGGGAUUCUGGAUUUCUUUUUCUAGAUGAGCCCUGGUUGA